CACAUAUCAUCAUGAUCAUGAUCAUCAUUGUUGUCGUUGUUUUUUUUCCUUUUUCUUAUUCUUGUCACUCUUUUAAUAAUUAUCUGAUUUUAAAUUGGAAAGAGAAGAGACUG
rnacentral:ribozyme from 14 species